rnacentral:rRNA from 1 species
GACGUAGGGCGCAAGCGUUGUCCGGAAUUAUUGGGCGUAAAGAGCUCGUAGGCGGUCUGUUACGUCCGCUGUGAAAACCCAGGGCUUAACCCUGGGCUUGCAGUGGAUACGGGUAGACUAGAGGCAGGUAGGGGAGAAUGGAAUUCCCGGUGUAGCGGUGAAAUGCGCAGAUAUCGGGAGGAACACCGGUGGCGAAGGCGGUUCUCUGGGCCUGACCUGACGCUGAGGAGCGAAAGCGUGGGGAGCGAACAGG